GUAAAAACCAUGCUUCAGCUGCUCUGCAAAAACCCUGUGCGGGACCCUUUCCUGGAGUGUAAUUUCACAUAACCUAGGACUACGAGUUGAUGAACAAGUGCAUGUGUGGCCCAGGAUCAUUGCUUCCCCCUGGGACCGGACUCCUUGUAAUCAUCCUUACUCUUUGCUGUUCCUGCUCCUGCCACAGGGUCAGUCUACUGGAGCAAGUGCUGCUUCUACUUCACUGGUGAUUUCCAUUUGUUCAGCGGCUAUACCUGUGAAUGUCUGGAAAAGGCCAACUUGGGAAAGAGUUAGUGACAGACUGCUGACUUAAUUUAAGACAUGAUGGGGAGCACCAUUCUAGCAUCCUUUAGCUCUUAAAGUCCUUAAGAAGCAUGCAAAAUUCAACCUCACCAUUACAAUAUGAUGUUUUUGUGACUACAUUGGUGAUGUAAUUUGUGAGUGAUGUCUGAGGAGCUGCGCUA
rnacentral:lncRNA from 10 species